GGAAAGAAAUUCUACAAAUAAAAUUUCAAAUGCUUUUACAGCAAAAAGCCACGUCAUUGCCAUCCGUUAGCAAAAUUUUACAAGAGUAUUCGUAUGUUGCUGGUGUAUACUUUAAUCCAGUAGGCUUUUAGCCUCCGAGCGGAUAACUAUAGAAUUUUAACGAAAGCGCAGUGUUUGUGUUUAAUAGUGACCAAAAAAAAUAAGAAAAAAAGAGAUAUAACUUAUAAAAAAUUCAAAAAGUUGAGAAUUUCAAAUUCAAACAGCUAGAAAGAAAAUUCAACUAAAAAUUUAAAUAAAAGCAUUUAGUAACAACAGCUUAAUAGAAAAAAAUAGAAAUUUAAAAAAUUAACUCCUAUAAAUUUUGUGUGCCAAAAAGAAGUAAUAACAAAAUCAAUUUUGCAUAAAAGAAAAAAAUCAUAAUUACUCAAUAUUAAAUAUUAAUUAGCCAAUACAGGUGCUACAAAUACACAUACUCUCUUAGCAAAAUUUUAAUUAAAAAAGUAAUAAUUAUAACUCAAAAAAAGCAACAUUUAUAAAGUAACUAACAAUUUAAAUUGAAAAAAAGUUUUAAAGUUAUUAUAUUUUUUGUGUUGUUAUUAUUGUUGCUGUAUUUUUUUUCGGACAAACCAACGAGUUGCUGACAGUGUAGUGCAGUAUAUAAAGAAUUUUGAAGAAGAAAAAUCGUAG